rfam:Candidate division WWE3 bacterium RIFCSPLOWO2_02_FTLL_53_10 rifcsplowo2_02_scaffold_9412, whole genome shotgun sequence.
GCCCUGGUAGCUUAAUGGAUAAAGCAGGACCCCUCUAAGGUCAAGAGUGGGGGUUCGAAUCCCUCCCAGGGCA